UGCGCCCUGAGCCAAGACAUGCGAUUUAUCGCGAAAACAUUAAACGUCCCAAGGAUCACGGAUUUCUGUGAAACAUAGCAAAUCUUUGGUGCUUCGCACCUUUAUCGGGAUGGAGGCGGUUAAGGCAUUUAACGCAGAGCUCUCAGCUCUGUAUGAUGUUAAACCACCAAUUUCGAAAGCUAAGAUGAAUUCUUUAACUAGAGGUGCAAUUAAGGCAAUUAAAUUCUAUAAACAUGUUGUGCAAAGUGUCGAGAAAUUCAUCCAAAAAUGUAAGCCAGAGUACAAAGUACCUGGAUUGUACGUUAUAGAUUCAAUUGUACGUCAGUCCAGACACCAAUUUGGGGUAGAGAAAGAUGUCUUUGCUCCACGCUUUGCCAAGAACAUGCAGACUACUUUCUUAAAUCUUUUGAAGUGCCCUCAGGAAGAUAAAAGCAAAGUAAUAAGAGUUUUAAAUCUUUGGCAGAAGAAUGCAGUGUUCCCUUCGGAGGUUAUACAGCCCUUAUUUGAUCUUGCGGAUCCAAAUCAUCCAAUACAUAAGGAGCAAGCAGUUAAUACCAAUGGUACACUGAAUGCGUCUGCAACAAAUAAUGUUAGUAAUACUGUAACUUCUGUAAAGACUCCUCCUUUGACUGCAAAAAAUGCGGUAAAGGAUCAAAAAUUAUUUUCUUCCGCAAAGCCAAUCGAUCCUGCUUGGCUUGCACAAACAAAAAUAGAAACAGCAAAUAUAGUUAAUGCUAAUAAACUUUUAGGGCAAUCAAAUUCAGCUCAAAUGGAUGUUUCUUUCCUUGAUCAGUUACAACAUUUACAGCAGUUAUUAUUAAAAAAGCAGGAGUCCGCAAAUGAACAGAAAAGUUCUGUAAAAUUUGAUAAAAAGCUCUUAGAUUUUGAUUAUGGUGAGGAAGAGGAUGAUGAUGUUGUUGUUGCUAGUUCACCAGCAGCAACUGCAGGAUCUAAUACUGGUCAACACAAUACAGUUUCAACAGGAAAUAGUUUGGAGAGUCUUGGACUUCUUUUAACAAAUCCUGAGGUUUUGAGACAACUUCAAACAUUACAACAAACAAUGCAGGGAAGUACUUCUUCAUCACAGCAUGAAACAGAAGAAAAGAUGCGGAAACUUCAGCAAAUGAAGCAGCAAGAGGAAGAAUUUGAUAAACAUCUAGCUCAAACUGUUCCUAAUUUACCAUUUGCAUCUGAAUGUGAAUUAAAACCAUCAGAUAUUUUGAAACCAAGUCAACAAAAUACUUAUACAACAAAUGUAAGUAGCGGAGUCAUACAAGAUAUGAGUCAACCACCUCCUGGUUAUCCACCGGCUCUACCGUAUGCCUCUCAACCUUUAUCAAAUAUUAGGCAGAUAAAUCAGCAAGCACAUCAAAAUCAAAAGAGUCCACUUCUUGAUGAACGGCAGGACACGCAAGAUUAUUCUGGAAAUGGUGCAAGGAGAGAUAGUAGCAGUGUAGAAAUUGUAAAUUGUGAAAAUACAAGAUCACAGAGUAGAUCGCCUGAUCGAUACAGACAUCACAGUCGAUCUAGAUCACCACGACACAGAGAUAGGGAUAGAGAUAGAGAUAGGGAUAGGGACAGGGAUCGAGAUCGAGACAGAGAUAGAAAAUCUCGAUCAAGAAGCAGAUCUAGGAGGAGAAGAUCUCGUUCAAGAGACAGAGGUCGUGACAGAAAACGGGAGGAUAGUCGAGAAAAAAUGACUGAGGAAGAACGAGAAAAAGAAAGAGAAAGGCGUAAACGAGGAUUACCACCAAUUGUGAGAGAUAAAUUAAGCGUUUGUAGUACAACUCUUUGGGUGGGACAUCUAUCGAAAUUAGUACAUCAAGAAGAACUUUCAGAUACUUUUGGAGAAUUUGGUGAUAUUGUCAGUAUAGAUUUAAUUUCACCCAGAGGUUGCGCCUUUAUAUGCAUGAAUAGAAGGCAAGAUGCAUAUAGGGCUCUUACUAAGCUUAAAAAUCAUAAAAUGCAAGGAAAGGCAAUCACUUUAGCUUGGGCUCCAGGAAAAGGAGUAAAAGGAAAAGAAUGGAAAGAUUAUUGGGAAGUCGAAUUAGGAGUUAGUUAUAUUCCUUGGAAUAAAUUAGUUAAUGUUACUGAUCAAGAUUUAGAAUUAUUAGAAGAAGGAGGUAUGAUUGACGAAGACACUCUACCGCCCAAUCUAAAAGGUAAAUUAAAGCAUUCCGCAACAAAUGCAGAUGUACUUCAACAACAGUUGCAAUUGCAACAGCAAGCAUUAGUUGCAGCUGCUGGAAUUCCAAAUUUGACGGAUGGUAUUGUAAAUGUAAUGCAACCUUCAACUAGUGCUCAACAGCAACAAUCCCAGCAACAAACUUCACAACAAGGUCAACAGCAGCAACAAGUAAUCGAUACAAGUCAACCUCCACCAAUUAGACCCCCUACAUCAGCUGCUCUUUUACCGCCACCAAAUACACAAUUACAGAUGAUGCCACCUGCUUUUACAAUGCCGGGAGUUCCUCGUAUGAUUGGACCAAUGGGAUUACCAAUGGCACAUAGUUUAAUGCCGAAUGUUCCCAUAGGUGUGCCACCUCCAAAUAUGCAAAGUUUAUUAGGGCCACCGGGAAUGAUGCAAACUAUGUUAACGCCACCUGUAAAUUCUCCAUUUGGAGCAGGUGUUGGCGUCGGCUUAUUAACUCAAAUUCCUUUACCAGCUCCAGCUGCACCUUCUGAUAAACCUAAUUCUACUGGUAUGCCACAUAAUGUUCCUCCAAUAGGAGUUCCUCCGCCAACAACAGAAACAGGUAUGCCAAAUUUACCAAUGUUACGCCAACCAUAUGGUGUAGGCCCUUCUGCACCUUUGCAAAUGCAACUACCUCAACAACAACAUUCUGCUGAUGACAUGGAUGUAGAGAUGGAAGAUGCAAUGCCACAAAGUUCAAAUGGAGCAAAAAAUAAAAGUAAUUUAACUGAACAACAACUUUCACAAAAUGAAGAACGAGCAGAAUCUGAUCAACAAGUAGAGCAGCAUCGAGAUUAUAAAGAAAGAGAAAGAGAUCGUGAAAAUAGGGAAAGAAGAGACAGAGAGACGCAUUUAUCUCACAGAGAUAGGGAAGGUACUGAUUCUAGAAUGGAUCGCGGAAGAGACCGAGGUAGAGGGAGAGAUAGGGGACGCGAUCGUAGAAGAGAUCUUAGAGAUAGAGACAGGGAUGACAGAAGAGAAAGGGAAAACCGGGAAAAUCGAGAAGGAAAUCCACAAACUCAAACUCUUCAGGAAAACGAAACUACCCCAAAAAAAGAUGGGAAACCAAGCUUAGCUGAUCGUUUGCGUCAAUUGGCUGAUGGCACACUGCCACUUGAAGAUCGUGUCGAUCGAAUAAUACCUCGUAAUCGCCAGGAACGAGAUAGAUCCGACAGAAAUUUUGAUGAUUCUCGAUCGGCUCGUGGAGAACCCCUUUCUUCUUUAAUGGAUUUGCCAAAGUUUGGUUUACCUCAAGAAAGAGGUGAUUUUCCAGCUCGACCACCAGAUUUUCGUAAUCCGCAAGAUCCGAGAGAAUAUCAGCAGCAAAGAGAUAGACAAAGUUUCGGAAGAGGUCAUAGAGGAUCACAGAUACACGAGGAAUUUAUGGAUGUUCCAAGGUUGCAAGGAGGAAUAUAUCAAGAGGAAUUUGAUAAUAGAAUACAUGGACAACAAAGAGUAGAAGAAUUUGGAAGACUUGGAUCACUUAGAGAACAAAGGGAGGAAUUUGAUAGGUCUGAAGUACGAGGAAGGAGACCACUCGAUGAUCGGGAUCGGUUCGAUUAUGAAAUUAGGCGAGAUGGUUUUGAUCCACGGCUUCAAGAUGGUUUCGAUCCAAGGGGACACCUCGACCGGGGUGAUUUUGAACCUAGAAGGCGAGAAUUCUUUGGAAUUGAUCCUAUUUUUGGGAUGCCGCCAAUAAUGGGACCUAGAGGACCUAGACCUGGACAUCCUGAUGGGUUUGGACCACGGCCAGCUCCCUUAGGAGCUCGUGGACCAGGUCCAUUAAUGUUCCAUCCACGAGGUUUGGGACCUCGUCCUCUUCGUCCUGGUAUGAGGCCUUUUGGCCCUCGUGGGCCACCUUUUGAUCCCCGAGAGCCGGAUGCCUUUUUCAGACCACCUUUUGAUGAUAUUCGUCCCCAUGUCAGACCACCUUUCGGUCCUAUGGGUCCGCCAUCCAUUAUUCCUCCAGAGUCUGCUGCUCCCUGGAGAAAUCAGGAACUUCCGCCUGGUUCCUGGCCUUCCGAUUCAGAGAAUCACUCACAAAGGGAUAAUCUUAGAGACAAAAAAGGUGGUAAUAAACAUCCGAAUAACAUGGAAAGAGAAAAUCGAAAUAGGGGACGAAAAUCUAGAUGGACUAAUGUUAGUCCAUCUGGAGAGGAAAUUGAAGAAUCAAAAGAACAAGAAUCAACCUCUGCGAAUGUUGAAGGAAAACAAGAACCUGCAAAGGAAGAAGAAGUAGCUGUGAAAGAAGAAGUGAAAGAAGAAAUUGAUAUGAAGGAAGUAAUCUCUAAUGAACAGAAGGAAGAAUUAGUAGAAACGGUUGAGACAAAAGAAGAAGGCGUUGAAAUGAAGAAGGAGGAAGAAGAGGAUUGCAGGGAUUCUUAGACCAAAGUAAAGAGCGAUUUUUCUCUUUAAAAUUUUUUCUUACUCUGUGGAGUGGUGUGAGGGAGAAUUCGUUGCUUCAAUUUGGGUCGAAUUGAAACAGUCAAUUUUAGAAAAUGAGAUACUGAAUUUUAGAAUAAUUGUAUUCAAUCGAUGACAAUUAUUAUUAAAAGUAGUGAUAUUCCGUUUCAAUUCUAACCUCUGUAAUAUUGAUAAAGUUACUGCUUGUUAUUAAAAGUAGAUCUUAAGAAGUAAAUACAACGAAGAAAUUAUAAUAAAAAACAUAAAAAUGUACGAGCUUUUAAUUUACUUUAAAUUAAUAAAUUCGUAUAUAAAUCUAUAGUGACUAUACUAUUCGUGAGGGAAAUAUAUCAAAAACAGAUAUUUUUAUUAAUUUUUGGAACUUUAUCACAUUUCACGUUAAAAAAUUAUCUUGUGCUGUUUUGAGAUUUGUGUAAAACGAGGACAACAGAAAAUACAUCAUCGAUUGAAUAGAAUAAGAUAUCUUUAAUUCAGAGUUUCAGAUUUCAAAGAAAUUGAUUUCGUGAUCGAUUGGACACUUAAGAAACUGUGAUUUGUAAACACAGGACCUAUGACCCGUGGAUACUCCAAGUGGCGACAUAUUAUUUAUUAAAUUGUAAAUACUUUUGUAUUUUCGUAGUGAACAAACAUACAAUAUAUUCGAUUUAAAUAUAUAUAUUUAAUUAUUUCUUAGGAACUUUUGGAAAUACAAGAGUAGUAUUUAAUUUAAAAAAGAAUAUAAAAAUGAAAAUGAAUAUUUUCUACCAUGAAUAGAAGAGAUUUCGAAAUGACUUAUUUUGAUAACUUAUUUAACAUUUUUAUUGAGCUAUAUUUUAGUAUCUUUUUAGAAAUAAAAUUUAAAAGGUUAAAUAUGCAUUUUUUGAAUUGUAAGAAUAUGUUUUUAAUUUGUAAAAAGUGGUUAAUAGUAUCAAUAAUAAUCUGAUAUAUCAAAUUGUUUAAGAAAAAAAGAAAUAUUCGUAAGAAAAAUCUUCAUUUUUAUUGCCAUUUUCCGUUUUAUAUCAAAUAAUUUUUAAAUAUCUCUUUUUAUAUUUCCAACAGUCAAAGAAACAAUUGAAUGUAUACAUUUAAGUCGAUCGUACUGUAUAGAUAGACAAAUCUUAAUAGUAGGAUCUUGAUUAACCGUGUAUCAUAGAAACUUCAAGUAUUUUCACAUGGACAUUUUUCAUUGAUUGAACUCUUGUUCAUUUAAAUUUUUACAAUGUUAUGUCUAACUAAUAGAUAAAAGGUUAUAUAAAAAAAGUACUGUGUUUGUAACUGUAUUGAUUUAAAUAAAUUUGUAUUCUAUUUGAAUAUAAUGUUAAGUAUAUUCAUCUUAAUUAAUAGAUACUUAUCUUAUUUAAUAGAAGUAAUUUGAAGUUAACAAAUUUUGCUCAUUUAAAGAGAAAUUAAACGUUCAAUCAACAGAAAAAGUCAAUGGUUCAAACAAAUAACCGUGAAUUCGGAUAAGCAAGAUUCUACCACUGCAAAUAUUUAAAUAGAUAGAGAGAGAGAUUAUAUAUAUAAAUAUGCGUAUGUAUGGAAGAGAGAAUGUAGAAAAUUGACAGAAUGUUUGCAUGCGUGUAAAUGAUUAUGAAAGAGAGAAGAGGAGAGUGGGAGAAGAUGAAAAAAAGUGAGAAUAUAUAUAGCACCGAUGUUCGGCGCGGCUCAAUCAAACGAAAAAUAAAUAUUUUCUAUAUAACGUCUUUCUUCAUAAGCAGAAUUACAGCCUUUCAUUCCGCUUGGCUCCCGGAAUUGUCUUUACGAUUUUCCUAGAAAAUAUCGAACUUCAAAUAUGUAAAUUUAAUAGUUUACAUAUAUAAAAUUGUUUUUAAAAGAUUUUGUCUGGGAGUCUUCAUUGAAAAAUCAAGAUAAAUUAAUUAUUGUUGGUUAAUUCUACUUAUCAUUAUUUAUAUGAAUGAUUCAAAGAAUUUUUUGAGUUUAUUAAUUUUUGUUUAUAUCUCAAAGAUAUCAUUUAAUUACGUUAUAGGGAAAUGUUUCAGAGGAAAGUCACAUUAAGUCAGUUGUGAGCCAAAUCGUAGUGUUUAUAAAUUUAAAAUUAUUUCUAAUAAUCUAUAAUAUUGAUAUAGCCCUUUUUUUGAAGGGAUAUAAUUAUUUUUUACAAAGCAUCUUAGGUAAUUGUUAAUUGCUGUAGAUAAAAUAUGUAAAAAGAAGACGUUUUUUCUUUUCUUUUAUAAAGAACAGUGAUUUGAAAACGGUGAAUGAUUAUUAUGUAAUAUUAAGCAUAAUUCUAAUGAUUAUUUAAAUUUAUAUUUUUUUUAAUUUGCACUAAAAAAAAUUUUUUUAUAUGCUAUCAACUAUUAAAAAUUAUUAAAUGAUUUUAAAUUAAUUUUAAGUCCGUUUUAACUAACGUAUUACUCUGUUUAGUUCUUUUACUGUGCAAUUUUUAUCUGAAAAAUUUUUCCUCCGAAUAUCGAAUAAUGUAUUAAAGAAACUUUAUUUAAACCGGAUGUACUCUGUAAUUGGAGCCAUCAUUUGCAUGACAAGAAACAAAGAAAUUUGUGAAACAAUGAAAGAGAAAAUAAACAUUUGGGACGAUAUUCGGAAUGGAAUGAAAUCUUUUCAGAGCAGCUUUGGAUACUUGUUCAGUGCUCAUACUCGUGUGUUCACAUGCGUGAGUCUCUCUCUCUGUCGCCACACGACGAUGGAACACCAGCCACCAGGUCGCUUGCGCUCAAACUGAGCGACAAGUGCAAGGCACAAUAAAUCUUGGAAUAAGAAACGGAUCUAUCAUGUGGUUUUUCCUCGAUGUAUUUAUUGUAAACAUGAGCAUUUUAAUAAAAUUGAAAUAUGAAUGUAGGUUGCAAUAUGAGAA